CCUACGGGUGGCAGCAGUGAGGAAUAUUGGUCAAUGGCCGCAGGGCUGAACCAGCCAAGUCGCGUGAGGGAUGACGGUCCUAUGGAUUGUAAACCUCUUUUGUCAGGGAGCAAAGGGCGCCACGUGUGGCGUUUUGCGAGUACCUGAAGAAAAAGCAUCGGCUACCUCCGUGCCAGCAGCCGCGGUAAUACGGAGGAUGCGAGCGUUAUCCGGAUUUAUUGGGUUUAAAGGGUGCGCAGGCGGGAGAUCAAGUCAGCGGUAAAAUGUCGGGGCUCAACCCCGGCCGGACGUUGAAGCUGGUUUUCUAGAGUUGGAGAGAAGUAUGCGGAAGUCGUGGUGUAGCGGUGAAAGGCAUAGAUAUCACGAAGAACUCCGAUUGCGAAGGCAGCAUACCGGCUCCAUACUGACGCUGAGGCACGAAAGCGUGGGGAUCGAACAGGAUUAGAUACCCUUGUAGUC
rnacentral:rRNA from 1 species